UGGGGAAUAUUGGACAAUGGGCGCAAGCCUGAUCCAGCCAUGCCGCGUGAGUGAUGAAGGCCUUAGGGUUGUAAAGCUCUUUCGUUGGGGAAGAUAAUGACGGUACCCGUAGAAUAAGCCCCGGCUAACUUCGUGCCAGCAGCCGCGGUAAUACGAAGGGGGCUAGCGUUGCUCGGAAUUACUGGGCGUAAAGCGCACGUAGGCGGGUUCUUAAGUCGGUGGUGAAAUCCUGGAGCUCAACUCCAGAACUGCCUUCGAAACUGGGAAUCUUGAGUCCGGGAGAGGUGAGUGGAACUGCGAGUGUAGAGGUGAAAUUCGUAGAUAUUCGCAAGAACACCAGUGGCGAAGGCGGCUCACUGGCCCGGUACUGACGCUGAGGUGCGAAAGCGUGGGGAGCAAAC
rnacentral:rRNA from 1 species